rnacentral:rRNA from 1 species
GGGUCAGUAGGUUGGUCGUGCCACCGGUACGUACUGGUCUCACUGAUUCCUCCUUCCUGAAGAACCGUAAUGCCAUUAAUUUGGCGUUGCGGGGGAACAGGACUGUUACUUUGAAAAAAUUAGAGUGUUUAAAGCAAGCUAACGCUUGAAUACAUUAGCAUGGAAUAAUGAAAUAGGACGAUCGAUCCUAUUUUGUUGGUUUCUAGGAUUGACGUA